AGAUAAGUACACAGGCACAGUGCACUGAUGAAGACUGUUACCGGAUUUUGUCUGGGAUGUCAGGGAAACACGGAUAUGAAGAAAGAAAGAGUGAACCCUGUCCUCUGACGGAAUGUCCAACAUCUAAAGAGCAAAUCCUCAGGAAAACAACAACAAAAAAGGAUUCCUAUAUAUGCUGAAUAGAGUUGAAGGAAAAUGUAACCAGAGAUGGAUAUUAGGAAUUUAGCUUCUAAAUUCUUGUCGUCAUUGGAUACAAGAACACUAUUUGAGUUUAGUCAUAUUAUAGGAAGCUAUAGGCCAAGAAGAAUUCAGAUCCUGGAAGUUUGGGAGCUGAGAGGCAACUGCCUUAAAAUAGACACUCCAUUCUUGUGUCACUCAGUUUGUAGUAUGUAAUGCUUACUAAAUACAGAUUAAAUGAAUAAGU